rnacentral:lncRNA from 1 species
UAAGGAGAAUCCAACAAAUAUAUUUAUCUUGUAUUAAUAGGCACAUCAUAAAGUCAACCAGCGGCGGCCAAUGAGACACCGACAACUGUCCCAUAGAUUUAAAGGUCAAACGAAACAUGCAUAUUAUACAGUGUCAGUGAACAUGACAGACUUAAAAGAUGCUAUUACAGGACUAAUGGUGGUGGCUCCAUGACUGGCCAUCCAACAGACUUUAAGAGCUCCAUGGGGCACAUGCAUCAUUAAAAUUGCAGCUGCUGGUCCUCAGCAGCCUGGCUGAGAAUGAAUGUAAUACUGUGGUUACAUCAGUCACUCUGGUUUUGCUUGAGAUGAUUUCUGAGACUGUGAAAAAGAGACAUAGGUACCUGAUGCUGCCUCAUCAAGUCAAGAGAUUGGUCAGUCUCUUUUUUACUUUUUUUUACCUUUUACUUUUCACUGUGGUGUUCAUCCUUUCAGGUGCUCUCACUUUUGCUUCAUUUUUGACCGUAGAAUGAUCAUUUUGUAGUGGUAUCUUUGGCUCAUCAGUGAUUCACCAACUCAUACUUGGACAAGUACAUCAUUUUGUAGUGGUAUCUUUGGCUCAUCAGUGAUCCACCAACUCAUAACUUGGACAAGCACUUGGAAUACAAAUUGUUUACAGUGAAAAGAUGUUGAAAAGGAUGUUCCAGCAACAAAAUCACCUUACUCAUAUACUUGGACAAGCACUUGGAAGACAAUUUGUUUACAGUGACAAGAUGUUGAAAAGGAUGUUUCAGCAACAAAAUCUGACUUGAAAUGUUGGCUUGUUUCUAUCUUAAAAGGAUCUGCAAGUAGAUAUCAGAAUGACAACCAUAUGCAUUUAGGACAAUUAUAUUGUAGCAGAAUCAGCUGAUUUGAUUGCAUCUGAGAUUACCCAACGAGAUUGCUCUUUACAGAUCUAAAAGUUUGAUAAUUAUCCAUGUCAGUCUGGAAGGGUGAAAACCAAAUGACUUUUUGCUACAUGGUAAAUAGGUAAAAAAAAAAGAAGAAAAAACAGAGAUUUCAGUUAAAAUAUCAAAUAUUUCUCAAGGACAUUCUCCGACUCAUCCACACGAAUGUUGGAGGUG